rnacentral:rRNA from 1 species
GACGAACGCUGGCGGCGUGCUUAACACAUGCAAGUCGAACGGAAAGGCCCUUCUUUUGUGGGGUGUUCGAGUGGCGAACGGGUGAGUAACACGUGAGUAACCUGCCCUUGACUUUGGGAUAACUUCAGGAAACUGGGUCUAAUACCGGAUAGGAGCUCCUGCUGCAUGGUUGGGGUUGGAAAGUUUCGGCGGUUGGGGAUGGACUCGCGGCUUAUCAGCUUGUUGGUGGGGUAGUGGCUUACCAAGGCUUUGACGGGUAGCCGUCCUGAGAGGGAGACCGGCCACAUUGGGACUGAGAUACGGCCCAGACUCCUACGGGAGGGAGCAGAGGGGAAUAUUGCACAAUGGGCGGAAGCCUGGUGCAGCAACGCCGCGUGCGGGAUGACGGCCGUCGGGUUGAAGACCGCUUUCGCCUGUGACGAGGCGUGAGAGACGGUAAUGGGUAAAGAAGCACCGGCUAACUACGUG